CUCCUCUCCGGGAUCGUCGCCGCCUUCCACCCGGGCCUCGCCGCCGGGGCCUCUGCCAGAGCCAGCUCCUGGUGGACCCAUGUGGAAAUGGGACCUCCAGAUCCCAUUCUGGGUGUCACUGAAGCCUUUAAGAGGGACACCAAUAGCAAAAAGAUGAAUCUGGGAGUUGGUGCCUACCGGGAUGAUAACGGAAAGCCUUAGGUGCUGCCUAUCGUCCACAAGGCAGAGGCCCAGAUUACCGCAAAGAAUGUGGACAAGGAAUACCUGCCCGUUGAGGGACUGGCUGAAUUUUGCAAGGCAUCUGCAAAACUAGCCCUGGGUGAGAAGAGCGAAGUCUGGAAGAGUGGCUGGUUUGUCACUGUGCAGACCAUUUCUGGAGCUGGAGCCUUAAGGAUCGGAGCCAGUUUUCUGCAGAAAUUUUUUAAGUUCAGCCGAGAUGUUUUUCAGCCCAAACCAAGCUGGGAAAACCACACACCCAUCUUCAGGGAUGCUGGCAUGCAGCUACGAGGUUAUCGGUAUUGUGACCCCAAGACUUGCGAUUUUGACUUCACAGGCGCUGUGGAGGAUAUUUCAAAAAUACCAGAGCAGAUUGUUCUUCUUCUGCAUCCCUGUGCCCACAAUCCCACGGGAGUGGACCCGCGUCCGGAACGGUGGAAGGAAAGAGCAACAGUGGCGAAGAAAAGGAAUCUCUUUGCGCUCUUUGACAUGGCCUACCAAGGCUUUGCCAGUGGUGAUGGUGAUAAGGAUGCCUGGGCUGUGCGCCACUUCAUCGAACAGGGCAUUAAUGUUUGUCUCUGCCAAUCAUAUGCCAAGAACAUGGGCUUAUAUGGUGAGCGUGUAGGAGCCUUCACUAUGGUCUGCAAAGAUGCGGAUAAAGCCAAAAGGGUAGAGUCACAGUUGAAGAUCUUGAUCCAUCCCACCUAUUCCAACCCUCCCCUCAAUGGGGCCCGGAUUGCUGCUGCCAUUCUGAACACCCCAGAUUUGUGAAAACAAUGGUUGCAAGAAGUGAAAGGCAUGGCCGACCGCAUCAUUGGCAUGUGGACUCAACUGGUCUCCAACCUCAAGAAGGAGGGUUCCACCCACAACGGGCAACACAUCACUGACCAAAUUGGUAUGUUCUGUUUCACAGGGUUAAAGCCUGAACAGGUGGAGCAACUGACCAAGGAGUUCUCCAUCUACAUGACCAAGGACGGCCGCAUCUCUGUGGCAGGGGUCACCUCCGGCAACGUGGGCUACCUUGCCCAUGCCAUUCAUCAGGUCACCAAGUAAUGUCCCUGGUGCAGGGAAACAGAGACAACCUUUCUGUCCUCAGCCUCUGCUAUUGAGAGCUUCACACAGACGAUGAGAGAAGGUGGAUGGUGCUGAGUGGAUCAUUUCUUUCAACCACAGUGUGUAACACUCAGCAUUUGAAUGUUUCUCAGAAAAGAACAUGUAGUGACACAGGGCAGAGGCAUCCGUGGCUGGCGUCUGGAACAUUAAACCAAACUCUCUCCCCUGUCCUUUUAUCUCCAACUUUUUUCAAAGAGUUUACAUGUGCAAGAAAGUCAUUGCACCAAAAAACCUGUCAAUUAUACCAUUGCAAUAUUUCAGAAGUUUUAACUGAAGUGUCAGGUUCCUUGUGAGAAAUAGCACACGUUAGAGGCUUUGAGAGAAGACCUAGUUCUGUCAUGAACAGUCGGCCUUGUGUCUGUCCUCCCAUCUUGGAGCAACCUUAUCAACAGGCCGCACUGCAGAAAUGAUGUUUUAUGAAAACCAAUGAGGCUGCUGCCACUCCAGCAAGGAAAAUAAUGCAAUUUCCUGUCUUAUGUAA